rnacentral:lncRNA from 1 species
CCGGCUUCAACGCAUUUUCUAUUGCCGUUAUUAGACGCUUCCAUAUAUUAUCCCUUUUUUGAAUCACUUCCCGUCCAUAGAACUCAUCAAAUCCAAGGGGCAGGAACUUAGCCUUCUUUGGAUCAAUCUCUUCACCUUCUUUCAGAGGUGGCUGCCAAAAUAAUCGGACACCAUGUUCCUCAUCCUCAAUGUAAUUGAUCAAUUGUCCAGUUGGGGUAUGCAAAAUGAGUGGGUCUUCAGUAUAUAUUAGCUUUGACGGAUCUUCAGGAUCAGGUUCCGGUUCUUUGUUGAUAAGUACAAAUUCAGGAGUCUCAUCUGAUCAAGAAAAUGUAAACAUCCAUUUAAAAAAACCAAAAAAGAAAAGGAUUCUUCAUAUCACUUUUGGAGACUAAGAAAUAGUAACAGAAGCGAAUAAAGAAUACCUUUCGACCACCAAUAUUCAAGCUCUGCAGGCAUAGGUAACCUCAGGGGAGCUUUAUAAAAUGAGUUCAGCCACAUUUCUCUUUCCUGAUCAACUUCAUGCACAUAUGUCUUCCAAUAAUCAGGAACCUGCCAACAAACAUACUUAUUUCUUCUCCCUUUUCAUAAUUGUGGAAAGAAUCCACCACGCAAAAGAAAAGCUUUUACUUACUUCGUAGAACUGAUUGAUAAAGCCUGGUGCCAUCCACACAUCUUCCUCCUCAUAGAAAUAGGGGUGUUGAGGAUCACCAUAAGGGCCCCUCUCUUCCCUAACCACUAUACGUGCAAACCAAGAUAAAAAGUCAAUAUUAUAUAAGGUUAAUGUUUAAAAUUGUCAGUGAUUAAAUGUAAAAAGGCAUAGGGAUUCCGAAGUAUCAUGUAGAGGGUAAAUCCAACAGAGAAAGUCAUCCAUUCAAAUUUCAGAGUAUAGUCAAGUCAGGCCUUCCGCAACGAGGAACAUCCGACAUGACAAACUGCACUUGAACUUCAAAUCUAUUCUAGAGGACCCAUUAAACAAAUUAUACAAAACAGUCAACAAGAGGCCCCUUGAAUCUCCAAAGAACUUCCUUUUGCAUUCAAUAAACAGAUAAGCAGAAGAUUGUGAGGGAGGCUUUUAGCAACAAUAACACUUAUAAGCUAUAACCCAUAUUCAUCUCUAAAUAUGAGUGUGUACAACUUCAAAAGAUUCAGCUUCAUCACAAGCCAAAAAGUUGACUUAUUCAGUUGCUGCAAGGUACAAAGUUCAGCCACUUCUAUUUUCCUUUUUGUUUUCUUCUCUUUCUGUUUCUUACUCUAGCAUAGCUCUACAGCCAUGAUCUAAUUAGCACAUGCUUGAAACAUUGGCAUGAUUGACACUAGGGGACACAACUCUCAUGUCAACCAUAUCAGACACUUGUAGGGACAACCAUAAGAGAAAAUUAUAUGUCAAAUAUACCUGAACAAGUCGAAUUUUAAAGAUGUUAUGCAUUUUUUGUUGAAGAAACUUGCACAGAGAUCUAUCUUGUUUCCAUAUAUAAAAUCUUAAAAGUUACUGUGUCAAACAAGAUUUUGUGGUUAUGCAAAUCUAAUAGUUAAUAAAGCAAGACUACAUACUUCCAUCUGGCUUAUUAAGAAACAUCCGAGCCUUAGCAGCAGCAACCUCUGCAAUACCAGCAUGCAUCUGAAAAACUGCAAUAUCAGAGAAAUGCCAUAAUAUAGAAUUUAUUCCAAUUCCCACUCCCCCCCCCCCCGGAAACUUCAUUUUGAACUAUUUAUUAAGUAGGAAACAAAUUGAGAAUACCGCUGAAAUGUUCUCAUCACAACCAUCUAAAUCCUCCAAUAACUCUCCAAAAUAGAAUCUACCCUGCACCGUUACAAAUUAUGGAACACAAAAGCAGUCAAGCACUUUUAUAAGACAAUUUGAGUAGCAGAACAAGUGAAAAAUAAUAUAUCAUAUGUGCAUGUAAUAUAGUAUCAACCAUUAACCAAAUAGAACGAUGAAUGUUUUGCAUUCUCUUAAAACCAUUAUAUCGUAGCAUCUUUCUUUUGAAAAAAUAUUGUACAAAUUUCCUACUUUUCAACUUUUAUGUUACUAGAAAGCAUUAUUUUAAAGAAAACUGAGGCCUAUAAAGCAGAGGCAAAAAUUUGGGUGCAGCAACACAUACAAAAUUUUAUGUAAAAUAAAUCCACACCUUCAUGGAAGAAAUGGAUUCAAUUACACAAAUUGAGAAUCAAACAGAACAGUUUAUAUUUUAAGCACAUACAUAGAUGGUGCGCUCAUUGACUUCAUAUACACCACACCCAUGCAUUCUGCCAUGCUUCCACUGGCCAGCAUAGCGGUAUCGACCCUUCUCCCUGAAACAGAAAUGAUUGUCCUCUUAACACCACAAAUUGAGAUACAUGCCUACUAAAGUCUCAAAAGUUCGGCAGAAAAAGUAAGAUACAAGUGCCUUGCAUGAUACAAUGUAAAUGCUCAAUAUGUGCAUGUGCAGAUAGGACAAUUGGGUAGGAUUAGGAAAAGCAACAUGCAUAUGAUCAAAAAUAAAAAUAAAAGAAGGCAGAUUCAAAUGCAAUGACAAAAAUAAUAACAAGACAGAAAGAAAUAGAAUAUUUGACGGAGAAACAUACGGUUUUCUGCCAAAAUGUUUGAUCCAUAUAUCACUCUCAUAAAAUGGUAUUUCAUAUUGCCCAUCCGCCAGGCGAAUGCUAUCCUCAACAUCCAUCUCUAACCAUUCUUUAUCUUCUGGAGUCAUGAAAUCUCUUGAUAUUAUUUUCCCUUCAGCUCGCAUUUUUGCUUCAAGCCUAGAAAAAUGGGAAAAUUCCAACUUCAUUGUAUCAUUUAUAAUCAAUUGCUGAGAUUGUAAAACCUAUGCUAUAAUAUAAGUGCAUCAUAAAUAGUUCACAAAUUGUUACGUACUUGGAACCUGGCACAGGUUCUAUAUCAGGUAUAUCAACUUCAACAACCCCAUGACCUUCCAUAUUGUUUUGCAACCAUUCACCUUCAUACCUAUAAAAGGAAGCAUCAUGUAAAUUUUUUCUUUAAAAAAAGCAUAAGCAGCUCAGAAGUACUUGAUGCAACUUAGCCCAAUAUGGAACGAUUUCUAGACCCAUAAAACAGAGGAAAAUGAAAUAUUUAAAGAGCACUCUGGGUUGAAUAGUGCAGACGCUGUCAUUUCAAUCCUAACAGUGUUGUCAAGACUCGAGUCACUAGAGCCCACAACGUAGGGAGUUUGAUAUAGUCUAGCACCUUGGUGCUUGACAUCACUAACUCGUAUAACUACAAACAAUCUUAUCUACAUGUUUAAGGGUCCUUCAAUGCAGGAUGGUACUAGAACAUAGGUAUGAAGAAAGAAGAAAACAGCAUUAUGAUAAAGUGAAGAAAUACACAUACACAAGAAAUCAAGACUGAAGUGUCAAGCAUUGACAAACCUGACCAGCCCCUGUUCUGCAACAUAAACACCUUUGCCAUGAGCCAAAUCAUCCCAAACCGUGCCUUCAUACCUUAAACAAAAUGCAGAAUGACUAUAAUGAGUAAUCAAACAAGUCAAAGCAAAACCAGAAUCAGGCAUACCGUUACCCGGAACUUCAAACAUGUCAAAGGCAAACUACUGGAUUAAAAACGAGUGGAGGACUGACUUUCAACACAAAGCCACAAUUUUGCUUCGUGCAAUUGACCAAGUUCAAACUUAUCCAAAUGCACAUUUAGCUACCUCAUUUACAAACUCCCCAAUCCUAAAUAAACUACCAUACUGCAAUUAAGUAAUUGCAUGCCUUAACAAGACAAAUAGUAACAAAAUGAGGGAAAAGAGUGAGAGAGAGAGUCGGUUUAACGUACAAGCUUCCAUCAGGGAAAAUGUAGCUGACCCAAUUGAGAAACUCCUCAAUCCUAUCCAACUCUUCAAUAACUGCUUUGGGGUUCGAAAUAUCAUAAUGAUUGUCCGGUAUAGCCGGAUAAGACUUCCGAUAAGGAACAUAAAACGGGGCAAUCCCCGGGUCCCGGCCCUCCUUAAUCUCAUCCCUCACAAUUUCCCAAUCUUCCUCAUCAGCCCAAACCGGGUCCCAACCGGGUUUGGUCAUCUCCAGCGGAGCAUCCACCCAAUACUCCUUCAAAUCUUCUUCCCGCCAAUUCUCGGGGUCUGGUGGAAAAUCCCAUAAGUCUUCGAAGUAAACGUAGUCUUCGUCUUCUUCCUCUUGGAUCCUCUUGAUUCUCUUGCUCUCCAGCACCCGAGUGUACCUGCGGAUGUUGGUUUCAGGGGUGUUUACGGUUUCAGGUGGGGCCUCUCCGGGUCGGGUGUAAGUGAGGGUUUCGGAAUCGGAUUCCUCGAUGUAGUCGUCAGAGGAAUAGGAGGAGUAGUCGGAGUCGGAGUCGGAGUCUGGGUAUUGCUGUUGCGACUCAGUAAGUUGUUGUGCUUGUUCUUCUUCUUCAUCAUCCUCUUCUGGGUCUUGUGACUCAGUGAGUAGUUGUUGUUCCUCUUCGUUCGACAUUGUUUUGCAGUAGAAAGAAGGGAGAGGUUGAAGAAGAUAAGGUAGAGAAUGUUAAGAAGAAAAGGAACGUUAGGAUAGAAGACAGCGGUUUAUCAUUUCAAAAGGGUUUUGGGCGUUUUGGCCUUUUCCAUGUCUUUUAAGUGAUUUUUGUGGUACCUGUGUUUGCUUUCUAUUUUCAUUUUGGUAAGUAUUGACAAAUGAUAUUUUUUUUCAUGUGAAUUUGGUAGAUAAUAAUAUUUCACUAUUUUUAAAAUGUUUAACUUUAAAUUUAAUGCAUUUUCUUAAUUUUAAAUUUUUAAAAAUUUUAAAAAUUAAAAAUUAUUAAAUGUUUGAAAAAAAAACAUAGAAAUUAAAAUUUAGCGGGUGAAACAAAAACAUGAAAUGGAUCGAUACAAGGGUAGUAUUUCAGGGAAGGAGGCACUAACAAUUUCAGGGUUCUAGAUAAAAUUCUCCACACCUUUUUCUUAGGUUAUCAAAGGUUAAAUUUUUAUAUUGAACUUAAACAGAUAAACUUUUAUAGUGCAUCAUCCAUUGCUUAUGAACUCAUUUACUAAACUUUUGGGCUAGAAUUAUUGAAGAAUCAUAUUUGACACUCUUUUGAUGGAUGUAUCUUUAUUUAUAUAUUUAUAUGCUUAAUUAUUGAAUUUAAAUUGCUAGACUAUCCAACAGAAACCUCCAUUGUUGGAUUUAAAUUGCUAGCUGGGUAUAUUUAUGUUGACUGCACUGACAGUAGAAAGCAAAUUUCUAUCUCCAUAUCAACUAUCAACACUAAGCAUAUCAUUGCUAGAAGUUACUGUACACAACUUCUCUAGAUAAAGCAAGCGUUAGAGAUCACUAUGGUGUUAAACAAAGUGUUGCAACAUUUGACAACACAAGUACAAUAAACAUUUCAAAGAAUAAUAUAUUGUACCUACGCAAAUGAUUAUGAGCCUCCAAGUGUUAGAUGUCAUGUUGAUUCUUCAAAAUUGCAAAAGUGAUGGAGUUUUAUGGUGAUUUAAUUAUUAGUAUUCGUUAUUUUUAGACCACAAUAUUUGCUGAGGAGUCUUUGUACUUAUAGCACAUGAUUAUGAACGUCCAGAUACCAUGUUGGUUCUUCAAGAUUGGAGAAGUAAUGGAGUUUUAUGGUGUUUAAACAUUAAUUUUCGUUGCAUUUGGACCACAAUAUUUGCUGAGGAGUCUUGAGCUUCAGAUGCACAGAUUGCAGAAGUGAUGGAAUUUUAUGGUGGUUUAAACAAAUAUUCUUGACUUGAAAUGCAAGGGAAUUUUACUUUAAACAUCAAUCUUGAGAUUGCUCCAUUUACCAUGUUUACUUGAUAAAAGAAUAAAACCAAUUCUCAUGAUUCAUAUUCGGUUGUUAAUGUUCAAAAUUUGAUACGAAUACGAAUCAAAGUCAAGCUCAAAUAUUAAAGCUCAUGUGAUAGCUCAACUUGCUGUAAAUCACAAAGUAGAAUUCAAAUUUGAUUUCCAAUAUUCAAAAAACCUUCAAGCCAAACCCAAAUAUCUUCCAAGAGUAUAAACUUUUCCCAUUUGCACUCCUAGCCACAGCACUCCCAAUGUGAAAUUUUACAUGAAAAUAAAACCAAUAGGACCAAAAGUAUUGAAGUUGAUCAUUCACCCCAAAUCCCAAUUGCCUGAAUGAAACUUUCGUUGAUCCUUCAACUUUCUUAUAAGAAUCAAAGCAUCCAAGAAAUAUUCCAGAUGAGAUUUUGCCAAUGGUCUAGGCUUUUUCUUUGCAUAGGAAAAAAUGUGCCAAAGCUCAAAAUGAUUUUUCAAUGUCUUAACUUUGACGUUACUUUUCUCUGUUUUCAAAAAAUAAAAGCUAAGUGUAUACUUUAAAUUAAGAUUGGCCAAAAAAGCAAUCAAAUGCAACCUCAACAAAGACUCUGACCCUCGUAAGUGCAAUCAUUCAAGUUCCUACAAUGAGGCUCAAUGCCUUUUAGUAUCUGGGUAUGAUUCCAAAUAACAAACCGGAAUAUGCAAAGAUAAGAUGUCUGAAUAUUUCUUCGGUGCAGCAUGCAGCUCAGAACGGUUAAGAUUUCCAAGUCGUCUUACACGACUUCUGGUAGUAGUUGAAGGACAUGAUAAGAUCUUGCAUAAGGAGUGUAACUGAGACUUCUUUCCACUAGAUUGGUUUUCUGGUUGAAACUUAUGAUGAUCUUGCUUGAAUGCCCUCAACCUUCCUUUGUGGCCUAGCACAAAAGGGAAACUGACCGAAUCAAUUAUUUUCAAUGGAUCACUGGCGCUUUCCACACUUGACGGAGGAUGGGAUUUUAGUGGUAAUCUACGUUGUUUCAGUGCUAAAAUUGAUUCUCGCAAUGUAGAUGGAACCUGUAAAGCAAAAGAUAGUAACUAUUGAAAUCUGCAAUAUAAAAGCAAUGCAACUUCCAAAUGACUACCCAUUCAAUUAGCAUAAAGAAUUGUGAAAAUAAACAGAAUAGACAUUAAUGGUCAUUUCGGUUACAAUCUGAUAACGGAAUAAAGGCUUUUCAGACAAAUUCCCUAUUAGUCAAAGAGCAAAGGCUAUACCUUCAUAGACCAUUUUUUCCUCCACAUGCAAAUUACAGAGUUAGAACAGAAAUGAGAACAAAACAUGGAAAUAAAAUUGAAUUGUAUAAGAAUUUACCGCUGAAACAAGGCUGCAAGAAGCAAACGACAAUGAAGAUGAAGAGAAUGGAGGCUCCCUAGGCUUCUUUCCCUUCUGAUCAGCAGCAACAGAUCCAAAACUGGACUGUGUAACAUCAUCAUCAUCAUCCUCUUCGUCUUCAUCUUCGUCUUCGUCUUCCUCUCCAUCUUCCUCUUCAUCAACAACUUUGUGAACAUCUUUGGGAAUGGCUUUUUCCUCUUGGUUAGCCACGACAGAAGUACCUUCUUCAUCCUCCAGCAAACCCAUUUCCAUCUUCUUCUCCUCCUCUUUCUCUUUCUUCUUUAACUCUUCAUCCAUGUCUUCAAUGGCCUCUUCCAAACACAGUUCAGCCUCUAUAAGAUCAAGUUCCUUUUCAAUAAGCUUCAUCUUCAACUCACUAGCCUUCUUCUUCUCUUCAGUCCACUUUUCUAGUUUAUCAAAUCCUGGCUUCAACGCAUUUUCUAUUGCCGUUAUUAGACGCUUCCAUAUAUUAUCCCUUUUUUGAAUCACUUCCCGUCCAUAGAACUCAUCAAAUCCAAGGGGCAGGAACUUAGCCUUCUUUGGAUCAAUCUCUUCACCUUCUUUCAGAGGUGGCUGCCAAAAUAAUCGGACACCAUGUUCCUCGUCCUCAAUGUAAUUGAUCAAUCGUCCAGUUGGGGUAUGCAAAAUGAGUGGGUCUUCAGUAUAUAUUAGCUUUGACGGAUCUUCAGGAUCAGGUUCCGGUUCUUUGUUGAUAAGUACAAAUUCAGGAGUCUCAUCUGAUCAAGAAAAUGUAAACAUCCAUUUAAAAAAAACCAAAAAAGAAAAAGAAUUUUUGAUAUCCCUUU